AAAGACUUGACGGUACUUCACAACAACCUAGAGGAGCCUGUCUAAUAACCGAUACCCCACGUUUAACCACACCUACUCUAGCCUAAUCAGUCUAUAUACCGCCGUCGCCAGCCUACCUUAUGAAAGAAAUAAAGUAAGCACAAUAAGAUUACCCCUAACACGACAGGUCAAGGUGUAACUAAUGAGUAGGAAAAAGAUGGACUACAUUUUCUAACACAGAAUACACGAAUAAACUAUGAAACUAGAAACUGAAGGCGGAUUUAACAGUAUGAUAGGAAUAGAAUGCCUAACUGAAAUCAAUGCAAUGAAGUGCGUACACACCGCCCGUCAUCCCUG
rnacentral:rRNA from 1 species